GACGAACCGUACGAACGUUAUUCGGAAUUACUGGGCUUAAAGGGUGCGUAGGCGGCGCGGAAAGUAGGGUGUGAAAUCCCUCGGCUCAACCGAGGAACUGCGCUCUAAACUACCGUGCUCGAGGGAGAUAGAGGUGAGCGGAACUGAGGGUGGAGCGGUGAAAUGCGUUGAUAUCCUCAGGAACACCGGUGGCGAAAGCGGCUCACUGGAUCUCUUCUGAUGCUGAGGCACGAAAGCUAGGGUAGCGAACGGG
rnacentral:rRNA from 1 species